GAGUAUAGAGGAAAAAGAGUGAGAAUGGAAGUAAGAAUGUGAGUGAAGACUGAGAGGGAAGAUGAGAGGGGAGAAUGGGAAGGAGGAGUAACAAAAGUGAAAACAAAAACUAAAAACUGAAAUAUAUUUGAAAUUGUUUUCUGUUUUGUUACUCUUUCCUCUUAUCCUCCCCUCUCAUCUCUCUCUCAUUCCCACCAUCAUUUUCCUCUAUAUUCU
rnacentral:snoRNA from 1 species